UACGUAGGGGGCUAGCGUUGUCCGGAAUCAUUGGGCGUAAAGCGCGUGUAGGCGGCCCGGUAAGUCCGCUGUGAAAGUCGGGGGCUCAACCCUCGGAUGCCGGUGGAUACUGUCGGGCUCGAGUACGGAAGAGGCGAGUGGAAUUCCUGGUGUAGCGGUGAAAUGCGCAGAUAUCAGGAGGAACACCAAUUGCGAAGGCAGCUCGCUGGGACGUUACUGACGCUGAGACGCGAAAGCGUGGGGAG
rnacentral:rRNA from 1 species